rnacentral:rRNA from 1 species
GACGAACGCUGGCGGCGUGCUUAACACAUGCAAGUCGAACGGAAAGGCCCUGCUUUUGUGGUGUUCUCGAGUGGCGAACGUGUGAGUAACACGUGAGUAACCUGCCCUUGACUUUGGGAUAACUUCAGGAAACUGGGGCUAAUACCGGAUAGGAGCUCCUGCUGCAUGUGGGUGGUUGGAUAGUUUCGGCGGUUGGGGAUGGACUCGCGGCUUAUCAGCUUGUUGGUGGGGGAGUGGCUUACCAGGGCUUUGACGGGUAGCCGGCCUGGGAGGGUGACCGGCCACAUUGGGACUGAGAUAGGGCCCAGACUCCUACGGGGGGAAGCGGUGGGGAAUAUUGCACAAUGGGCGGAAGCCUGAUGCAGCAACGCCGCGUGCGGGAUGACGGCCUUCGGGUUGUAAACCGCUUUCGCAUGUGACGAAGCGUGAGUGACGGUAAUGGGUAAAGAAGCACCGGCUAACUACGUG